CAUCUGCUGUUCCUUGUAUCUAGACUAGGCGUGCAUUUCACCCUACACCUGCGCUCGGUCCGCCAAGGCCUGCUGGAUCUCCCGGAUGCCAACCAUUUUAACUCCCCUUCCCAUUCCCACACGAUCUUUCUGUGCUGGCCCUCCUCCAUUGCAAGAGUGAGGAGA